rnacentral:rRNA from 1 species
AUACGUAGGGUGCGAGCGUUGUCCGGAAUUACUGGGCGUAAAGAGCUCGUAGGUGGUUUGUCGCGUCGUCUGUGAAAUUCCGGGGCUUAACUCCGGGCGUGCAGGCGAUACGGGCAUAACUUGAGUACUGUAGGGGAGACUGGAAUUCCUGGUGUAGCGGUGAAAUGCGCAGAUAUCAGGAGGAACACCGGUGGCGAAGGCGGGUCUCUGGGCAGAAACUGACGCUGAGGAGCGAAAGCAUGGGUAGCGAAAAGGAUUAGAUACCCUGGUAGUCCAUGCCGUAAACGGUGGGCGCUAGGUGUAGGGGUCUUCCACGACUUCUGUGCCGUAGCUAACGCAUUAAGCGCCCCGCCUGGGGAGUACGGCCGCAAGGCUAAAACUCAAAUGAAUUGACGGGG